AGAGUUUGACUCUGGCUCAGGACGAACGCUGGCGGGCGUGCUUAACACAUGGCAAGUCGAGCGGAAAGGCCCUUCGGGGUACUCGAGCGGCGAACGGGUGAGUAACACGUGAGUAAUCUGCCCCUAGCUCUGGGAUAGCUCCGGGAAACCGGGAUUAAUACCGGAUACGACCACUUUAGACAUCUUUUGUGGUGGAAAGAAUUUCGGCUAGGGAUGAGCUCGCGGCCUACCAGCUUGUUGGUGGGGUAACGGCCUACCAAGGCGACGACGGGGUAGCCGGCCUGAGAGGGCGACCGGCCACACUGGGACUGAGACACGGCCCAGACUCCUACGGGAGGCAGCAGUGGGGAAUAUUGCGCAAUGGGCGAAAGCCUGACGCAGCGACGCCGCGUGGGGGAUGAAGGCCUUCGGGUUGUAAACCCCUUUCAGCAGGGACGAAGCGAAAGUGACGGUACCUGCAGAAGAAGCGCCGGCUAACUACGUG
rnacentral:rRNA from 1 species